rnacentral:lncRNA from 7 species
AGCAAAGUCUUUUGGCCUCUCAUACAGGAGAUAGGAGCGCAUCCAGCAUGGUACCGGUUAAUAUCGUCUUAGAUGACGGUUUGGGAAUACCAAUGGGAGAAAUUGGACAAAUGUGUGUUGCCGAGAGCAGUCAGCUGGAGAUAUUUGGACACUUGAAAGAUCCUCAGAAACUGCUUUUGGAGGACCUUGGGCCUGUGCUGAAAGGGUCUUGCCAGCAGCCAAUGAGAACAUCAAGUGCUCUAAUCCCCUUUACUUCGGUGUGGGAGGCAGCAGUGCGGGAGGUGCCGGCUCUGCGGGCUGCAUCACGGUGACGUGCCCUGCUCCCAGCCCAUGUGCAGCAAACGUUCUUUCAGUACUUCUCCGUCAGGAGGAUGAUGAGGGCUAACUAAAUGCAUCUAAACAUAACCACAGAAGAGGGGGGAAAUACACUGUGUGAGCAAACCUGAUGCUCUUCCUACUUCAUUAGAAUUUAAUGAAGAAAUACUCAGUGCCCAACAGGAGAAUCCUAAUUCAUUAUGUCCUUUGAAUUCUCAUUAAGCAUAUGUACAGUGACUACCAGAAAACAGCAUACUUUCGACUCUGUUGUCCAUUACUCUGCCUAAUAGCUCUGUUGUCCAUUACACUUAAAUGCUGAUAACAGGAGAAACCUAUGCAAGUUUUAUUCCAGUAAUUAAUUUUCACUGGUUAAUUCCUGACGACUUUCCAAUGUUGUGCUGGUGCAGUGAAUCAGAAUCAUUACACGAGUGAGGUUAAAGCUGCCUUGGUGAUGCUCUGAGAAAAGAGAUGGACUCCACUGCACCUCUUGUGCCCAGCACAAGGGUUCUGCCUUGGAGCUGCUCUGUUAUGUGAAACCUUAUUAUGCACGUAAGUGGUGUAAACUGAAGGGCUGAAUGAUGACAGAAGCUGUCUGGAGCUAUCCAGGAGGUGUAAUGCUCUGCGUAGCUUUGCACUACUCGGGUGAGCACUUUGGAAGGAGGCAUGUGCCAGAAAACAUGGCACUGCUAAAUGUUUCUGACGUAUUAUUUAGCUUCAGGCAAUGUUUAAAAGCUGCAUAAUUGCUCACAGCUAUAUUUAAGUUGUAUUAUUGCAAUUGUCAAAGGAGACAGAUAUUAAUUCCUGUAUUUCUUCACAGUUAUUAAUACUCCCAUUUUUUACCUUUAUUACUCAAAAUGGUUAAUGGCUCUGAAAUAAAGAAUCUUUAAGGGC